GACGAACGCUGGCGGCGUGCUUAACACAUGCAAGUCGAACGGAAAGGCCCUGCUUUUGUGGGGUGCUCGAGUGGCGAACGGGUGAGUAACACGUGAGUAACCUGCCCUUGACUUUGGGAUAACUUCAGGAAACUGGGGCUAAUACCGGAUAGGAGCUCCUGCUGCAUGGUGGGGGUUGGAAAGUUUCGGCGGUUGGGGAUGGACUCGCGGCUUAUCAGCUUGUUGGUGGGGUAGUGGCUUACCAAGGCUUUGACGGGUAGCCGGCCUGAGAGGGUGACCGGCCACAUUGGGAAUGAGAUACGGCCCAGACUCCUAAGGGAGGCAGCAGUGGGGAAGAUUGCAAAAUGGGCGGAAGCCUGAUGCAGGAACGCCGCGUGCGGGAUGAAGGCCUUCGGGUUGUAAACCGCUUUCGCCUGUGAAGAAGCGGGAGUGACGGUAAUGGGUAAAGAAGCACCGGCUAACUACGUG
rnacentral:rRNA from 1 species